rnacentral:tRNA from 1 species
GCGGGGGUAGCCAAGCGGUCAAAGGCGGCGGCCUCAAGAGCCGCUCCCCGUAGGCCAGAAGACGGAGGGGGUUCGUGGGUUCGAAUCCCACCCCCCGCA